ensembl:snRNA U6 U6 spliceosomal RNA
UAAUGGUCGGGUUCAUAUACUAAAAUUGGAAGGAUACAGCGAAGGUUAGCAUGGCCCCUGUGCAAGUAUGACACGCAAAUUCAUGAAGCGUUUCAUAUUUUU